rnacentral:misc_RNA from 1 species
UUUGUUCUGUUGCUAUUAUAUUUGUCUUUGGGCGUGGUAAUAUAUUGGUUGAAUCGUGAUAAUUUCGAUGGAAAUGAAACACAUCCAGUUGUUGAUGCCUUGUAUUUUUGUAUUGUAACAAUGUGCACUAUUGGAUAUGGGGAUAUCACUCCAAAUAGCACUGCCACAAAAUUGUUUUCUAUAUUGUUUGUCCUGGUUGGAUUUGGAUUUAUUGAUAUUUUGCUUUCUGGGAUGGUUAGUUAUGUGCUUGAUUUGCAAGAGAGUCAUUUAUUAAGGAAUGUUAAGAGAGGAAUUGAUAUGGAAGCCGCUGGUUCUGUAAUAAUUGAUGUGAAGAAAGGAAGGAUGAGGAUAAGGAUGAAGGUGGCAUUGGCAUUAUGCGUAGUGGUUCUAUGUAUUGGAAUUGGUGUCGGUGUCAUGCAUUUUGUCGAGAAGCUUGGAUGGUUGGAUUCUUUUUACCUCUCUGUUAUGUCAGUUACAACUGUUGGUUAUGGCGACAGAGCAUUCAGGUCGUUGACAGGUCUUCCAUUUGGUUGCUUGUGUCAACCCUUGCAGUGGCUCGAGCAUUUUUAUAUUUGGCUGAGGCAAGAGUGGAUAAGCGUCAUAGGAGGAUGGCAAAGUGGGUGCUUGGCCAAAACAUGACUGUCUCUGAGUUUCUUGCUGCUGACAUUGACCAAAAUGGCUUUGUAAGUAAAUCAGAAUAUGUGAUAUACAAGCUCAAGGAAAUGGGAAAGGUUUCAGAGAAAGAUAUUCUGCAGAUAUGCCUGAAGUUUGAUAGGAUAGACACUGGCAACUGUGGGAAGAUAACUCUCGCCGAUCUUAUGGACAGUCAACAUUGAUAUACAAGUACCGUUAACAAGUUUUUAAUGGUAUUACUAGAAUAUGAUAAAAUGAUAUGUGAUGAUGAAUUAAGGUCUAGUUUGUGCUGUAAUUGCAUAGACGAUAGUCACUUCUGUGAAUUUGGGGCCUGAACAGCUAUCCUCAUCAUAUCCUGAUCCUUCAAUCAGAUUGCUAUUUUGUGAGUUGAAAUGGGAAUCAAAUUCUGAAGAUCGCAUGGGUUCUGUUGCCUGUCGAGUGGUAGAAGCCAGUCAGAUGUUAAAACCUGGUGCAUUUUUCAGCAACUUAGCCACUAGCCAUCAUUAUAACGAUCGCUUGAGGUAUUGGUUCGGAUGGGUGGGUUGUGGUGACUGGAGUAUAGGUGGAUGCAACUUUUCCUUGUCAUGGCCCUA